GACGAACGCUGGCGGCGCGCUUAACACAUACAAGUCGAGCGAGAACCAGGGCUUCGGCCCUGGGGACAGCGGCGAACGGGUGAGUAACACGUGGGUAAUCCACCCUCGGCACCGGAAUAGCCCGGGGAAACCCGGAUUAAUGCCGGAUGGCCCGCCGGCCCCGCGGGGCUGGCGGAAAAGGUAGCUUCGGCCUCCGGCCGAGGACGAGCCCGCGACGGGUUAGCUUGUUGGUGGGGUAACGGCCUACCAAGGCUGCGAUCCGUAGCUGGUCUGGGAGGACGUUCAGCCACACUGGGACUGAGACACGGCCCAGAGUCCUACGGGAGGCAGCAGUGGGGAAGCUUGCGCAAUGGGCGAAAGCCUGACGCAGCGACGCCGCGUGAGGGAAGAAGGCCUUCGGGUUGUAAACCUCUUUCAGGAGGAACGAAGCCACUCGGGUUAAUAGCCCAGAGGGUGACGGUACCUCCAGAAGAAGCCCCGGCUAACUACGUGCCAGCCGCCGCCGUAACAC
rnacentral:rRNA from 1 species